GACGAACGCUGGCGGCGUGCCUAAUACAUGCAAGUAGAACGCUGAAGGAGGAGCUUGCUUCUCCGGAUGAGUUGCGAACGGGUGAGUAACGCGUAGGUAACCUGCCUGGUAGCGGGGGAUAACUAUUGGAAACGAUAGCUAAUACCGCAUAACAGUAGAUAUUGCAUGAUAUCUGCUUGAAAGGUGCAAUUGCAUCACUACCAGAUGGACCUGCGUUGUAUUAGCUAGUUGGUGAGGUAACGGCUCACCAAGGCGACGAUACAUAGCCGACCUGAGAGGGGGAUCGGCCACACUGGGACUGAGGCACGGCCCAGACUCCUACGGGAGGCAGCAGUAGGGAAUCUUCGGCAAUGGACGGAAGUCUGACCGAGCAACGCCGCGUGAGUGAAGAAGGUUUUCGGAUCGUAAAGCUCUGUUGUAAGAGAAGAACGAGUGUGAGAGUGGAAAGUUCACACUGUGACGGUAUCUUACCAGAAAGGGACGGCUAACUACGUG
rnacentral:rRNA from 1 species